UUACGGUCAAAUCACGUUGAAAACACCGGUUCUCGUUCGAUCACCGAAAAUUGGGGCAAACGUCUUAAGCAUCGUAGAGCCAGGUCAGUACUUAGAUGGGGGACCGCUUGGGAACACCUGGUACUGUAAG